GCGUUAGUGGUGUAGCGGCUAGCAUUAGUGCCUUCCAAGCACUAGAUCUGGGUUCGACUCCCAGCUAACGCA
rfam:Aspergillus glaucus CBS 516.65 unplaced genomic scaffold ASPGLscaffold_3, whole genome shotgun sequence.